rnacentral:lncRNA from 1 species
CAGCGCUGCAGCAGUUAAGUAGCAUGGCUGCAGCAGUUAGGUAGCAUGGCUGCAGCAGUUAGGUAGCAUGGCUGCAGCAAUUAGGUAGCAGCGCUGCAGCAGUUAGGUAGCAUGGCUGCAGCAGUUAGGUAGCAUGGCUGCAGCAGUUAGGUAGCAGCGCUGCAGCAGUUAGGUAGCAUGGCUGCAGUAGUUAGGUAGCAUGGCUGCAGCAGUUAGGUAGCAUGGCUGCAGCAGUUAGGUAGCAUGGCGGCAGUAGUUAGGUAGCAUGGCGGCAGCAGUUAGGUAGCAGCGCUGCAGCAGUUAGGUAGCAUGGCGGCAGCAGUUAGGUAGCAUGGCAGCAGUAGUUAGGUAGCAUGGCGGCAGUAGUUAGGUAGCAUGGCGGCAAUAGUUAGGUAGCAUAGCAGCAGCAGUUAGGUAGCAGCGCUGCAACAGUUAGGUAGCAUGGCAGCAGUAGUUAGGUAGCAGCGCUGCAGCAGUUAGGAAAGGGGUUCUUUCACCUUACCAUAAAUUGUCUGUCUUUUACAUAACCUUUAAUGAGGAACCAGAAAA